ensembl:lncRNA
UCAUUCACUCAUUGAUGGACUGAUUAAUUCAAGAACAAAAACCUUGCACAUUUUAUCCAUUUAUAGUUACAUUUAAUGUUUAGCUGCUGUUUUCACUUACAUUAUUACAUAAACAUUAAAGAAGUGUUCAGAACACAUCACCACAUCAAAAACGUACAGAUGUUUUAAAUACGUUUGUGUGGAGCAUACAGCAUACAAGUCCCUGUGUAAGAUGUUCUUAUAACGUAUAAGCAUAUUCUUAUUAACCAUAAUGAUAAUGAUCAUGAGUCUUUAUUGGUCACGUAUACAUUAAAGCACAGUGAAAUUCUUUUCUUCGCAUACCCCAGCAUGUCAGGAAGCUGGGGUCAGAGCGCAGGGUCAGUCAUGAUACAGCGCCCCUGGAGUAGAGAGGGUCGAGGGCUUUGCUCAAGGGCCCAACAGUGGCAGCUUGGCAGUACAUGCAGCCAUGCAGCUGACAUUACCGUAACAGACCUUACAGUGGAAACGCGAUAAAUCCCUCCUGCAUGCAAACACACCUUCAGAUUUCACUGAGAACGGAACAUGGCAGAGUUGCUUUUGAAAGCCCGGCUUCACCUCAUUGAGAGAGUUAAUGAAGCUCUCCUUAAGGAUCUUAUUGACGGUCUCAGGGCUGCAAACCCGCCAGUUCUUACUAGCAGGGAAGCGAAUGAGAUAUUGCAGGCCCACAAAGUGAUAGAAGACAAGACUGGAAUACUAAUAAAUAUGGUGUAUGAAAAAGGUGACACUGCCAGCGCCGUUAUGAUGUCUAUUUUGGAACAAAAAGAUGUAAACCUCGCCAAAUACCUUGGCUUUAUCCCGGACUAGCCCGUCAGACACAAAAUAUCAUGUAUGGACAUGAAUAGACUCAAUUAUAUAAAAAAUAAAUAAAUAAAUAAAAAACUCACCAGACCUGCCAAACAAGAAUGUGAAGGAAAUUUGAUCUUCAUUGCUUUUAACUUGUUUGAUAAAACUCAUGCCUGUGUGAGUAUGUUGUGGCACACAAAUAAAUAAAAAUCAAUUUGGACAAACC